AGGAUCCCUAGUAACUGCGAGUGAAGCGGGAAAAGCUCAAAUUUAAAAUCUGGCGGUCUUUGGCCGUCCGAGUUGUAGUCUGGAGAAGUGCUUUCCGCGCUGGACCGUGUACAAGUCUCUUGGAACAGAGCGUCAUAGAGGGUGAGAAUCCCGUCUUUGACACGGACUACCAGUGCUUUGUGAUGUGCUCUCAAAGAGUCGAGUUGUUUGGGAAUGCAGCUCAAAAUGGGUGGUAAAUUCCAUCUAAAGCUAAAUAUUGGCGAGAGACCGAUAGCGAACAAGUACCGUGAGGGAAAGAUGAAAAGCACUUUGGAAAGAGAGUUAAACAGUACGUGAAAUUGCUGAAAGGGAAACGCUUGAAGUCAGUCGCGUUGGCCAGGACUCAGCCUUGCUUUUGCUUGGUGCAUUUUCUGGUUGACGGGCCAGCAUCGAUUUUGACCGCUGGAAAAAGGUUAGGGGAAUGUGGCACCUUCGGGUGUGUUAUAGCCCUUAGUCGCAUACAGUGGUUGGGAUCGAGGACCGCAGCACGCCUUUAUGGCCGGGGUUCGCCCACGUUCGUGCUUAGGAUGCUGGCGUAAUGGCUUUAAACGACCCGUCUUGAAACACGGACCAAGGAGUCUAACAUGCCUGCGAGUGUUUGGGUGGAAAACCCGAGCGCGUAAUGAAAGUGAAAGUUGAGAUCCCUGUCGUGGGGAGCAUCGACGCCCGGACCUGAACUUCGGUGAUGGAUCUGCGGUAGAGCAUGUAUGUUGGGACCCGAAAGAUGGUGAACUAUGCCUGAAUAGGGUGAAGCCAGAGGAAACUCUGGUGGAGGCUCGUAGCGAUUCUGACGUGCAAAUCGAUCGUCAAAUUUGGGUAUAGGGGCGAAAGACUAAUCGAACCAUCUAGUAGCUGGGUUCCUGCCGAAG
rnacentral:rRNA from 1 species